rnacentral:tRNA from 1 species
AGGGUAAUAGUUAAUAAUAACAUUUGAAUUGCACUCAAAAAGUAUUGGUCUUCCAAUUUACCUUA